UGUCUUCGGGGCAGGGUGCAAUUCCCGACCGGCGGUAAAGUCCGCGAGCCUACGGGUUGAAUCGGUGUGAUUCCGAUACCGACAGUAAAGUCUGGAUGGAAGAAGAC
rnacentral:ncRNA from 1 species